CCUACGGGUGGCAGCAGUGAGGAAUAUUGGUCAAUGGUCGGGAGACUGAACCAGCCAAGCCGCGUGAGGGAUGAAGGUACAGAGUAUCGUAAACCUCUUUUGUCAGGGAACAAAGGCGGGGACGUGUCCCCGGAUGAGUGUACCUGAAGAAAAAGCAUCGGCUAACUCCGUGCCAGCAGCCGCGGUAAUACGGAGGAGGCGAGCGUUAUCCGGCUUUAUUGGGUUUAAAGGGUGCGCAGGCGGUCUGUUAAGUCAGCGGUAAAAGCCCGGGGCGCAACCCCGGCCCGCCGUUGAAACUGGCAGUCUCGAGUUGGAGAGAAGUAUGCGGAAUGCGCGGUGUAGCGGUGAAAUGCAUAGAUAUCGCGCAGAACUCCGAUUGCGAAGGCAGCAUGCCGGCUCCACACUGACGCUGAGGCACGAAAGCGUGGGUAUCGAACAGGAUUAGAUACCCCAGUAGUC
rnacentral:rRNA from 1 species